rnacentral:rRNA from 1 species
AAUAGAUACCCGGGUAGUCCACGCCGUAAACGAUGAGUGCUAAGUGUUGGGGGGUUUCCGCCCCUCAGUGCUGCAGCUAACGCAUUAAGCACUCCGCCUGGGGAGUACGGUCGCAAGACUGAAACUCAAAGGAAUUGACGGGGGCCCGCACAAGCGGUGGAGCAUGUGGUUUAAUUCGAAGCAACGCGAAGAACCUUACCAGGUCUUGACAUCCCGGUGACCACUAUGGAGACAUAGUUUCCCCUUCGGGGGCAACGGUGACAGGUGGUGCAUGGUUGUCGUCAGCUCGUGUCGUGAGAUGUUGGGUUAAGUCCCGCAACGAGCGCAACCCUUAUUCUUAGUUGCCAUCAUUCAGUUGGGCACUCUAAGGAGACUGCCGGUGAUAAACCGGAGGAAGGUGGGGAUGACGUCAAAUCAUCAUGCCCCUUAUGACCUGGGCUACACACGUGCUACAAUGGACGGUACAAACGGUUGCCAACCCGCGAGGGGGGAGCUAAUCCGAUAAAACCGUUCUCAGUUCGGAUUGUAGGCUGCAACUCGCCUACAUGAACG